CACGUAGGGCGCAAGCGUUGUCCGGAAUUAUUGGGCGUAAAGAGCGUGUAGGCGGCCUUACAGGUCAGCUGUGAAAACCCGAGGCUCAACCUCGGGCCUGCAGCCGAUACGGGCAGGCUAGAGUUCGGUAGGGGAGACUGGAAUUCCUGGUGUAGCGGUGAAAUGCGCAGAUAUCAGGAGGAACACCGGUGGCGAAGGCGGGUCUCUGGGCCGAUACUGACGCUGAGGAGCGAAAGCGUGGGGAGCGAACAGG
rnacentral:rRNA from 1 species